UACGGGGGGGCGAAGCGUUGUUCGGAAUUACUGGGCGUAAAGGGCUCGUAGGCGGCCAACUAAGUCAGACGUGAAAUCCCUCGGCUUAACCGGGGAACUGCAUCUGAUACUGGAUGGCUUGAGUUUGGGAGAGGGAUGCGGAAUUCCAGGUGUAGCGGUGAAAUGCGUAGAUAUCUGGAGGAACACCGGUGGCGAAGGCGGCAUCCUGGACCAACACUGACGCUGAGGAGCGAAAGCCAGGGGAGCAAACGGG
rnacentral:rRNA from 1 species